AACUUUGUGCAUUGUCAGUAUUGUAGCCAGUGAGGUUUAUUUGAGGUACGGUUAUUGUUAAUUGAAAACUAAAAUUUUGUCUUCCACUGACUUUAGCUUUUUAAAAUAUUAUUUGCAUGGUUGACAGGCAUGCACACCCAUGUGUGC